AUUGAACGCUGGCGGAAUGCUUUACACAUGCAAGUCGAGCGGCAGCACGGGGGCAACCCUGGUGGCGAGCGGCGAACGGGUGAGUAACACAUCGGAACAUGCCCAGUCGUGGGGGAUAACACUUCGAAAGAAGUGCUAAUACCGCAUACGUCCUGAGGGAGAAAGCGGGGGAUCGCAAGACCUCGCGCGAUUGGAGUGGCCGAUGUCAGAUUAGCUAGUUGGUGGGGUAAAGGCCUACCAAGGCAACGAUCGGUAGCUGGUCUGAGAGGAUGAUCAGCCACACUGGGACUGAGACACGGCCCAGACGCCUGCGGGAGGCAGCAGUGGGGAAUUUUGGACAAAGGGGGCAACCCUGAUCCAGCCAUUCCACGUGAGUGAAGAAGGCCUUCGGGUUGUAAAGCUCUUUCGGCAGGAACGAAACGGUGAGCUCUAACAUAGCUUGCUAAUGACGGUACCUGAAGAAGAAGCACCGGCUAACUACGUG
rnacentral:rRNA from 1 species